rnacentral:rRNA from 1 species
UACGUAGGGCGCAAGCGCUGUCCGGAAUUAUUGGGCGUAAAGAGCUCGUAGGCGGUUUGUCGCGUCUGCUGUGAAAACUCGAGGCUCAACCUCGGGCUUGCAGUGGGUACGGGCAGACUAGAGUGCGGUAGGGGUGACUGGAAUUCCUGGUGUAGCGGUGGAAUGCGCAGAUAUCAAGAGGAACACCUGCGGCGAAGGCGGGUUGCUGGGCCGACACUGACGCUGAAGCGCGAAAGCCAGGGGAGCGAACGGG